UACGUAGGGUGCGAGCGUUAAUCGGAAUUACUGGGCGUAAAGCGCACGUAGGCGGACCGAUAAGUCGGGGGUGAAAUCCUGGAGCUCAACUCCAGAAUUGCCUUCGAUACUGGCUUUCUAGAGGCUGGAAGAGGUUAGUGGAAUUCCCAGUGUAGAGGUGAAAUUCGUAGAUAUUGGGAAGAACACCAGUGGCGAAGGCGGCUAACUGGUCCAGAUCUGACGCUGAGGUGCGAAAGCGUGGGGAGCAAACAGG
rnacentral:rRNA from 1 species